rnacentral:rRNA from 1 species
UAAGGAAUAUUGGUCAAUGGACGGAAGUCUGAACCAGCCAUGCCGCGUGCAGGAAGACGGCCCUACGGGUUGUAAACUGCUUUUGCAGGGGAAUAAACCUUCUUUCGUGAAAGAAGCUGAAUGUACUCUGAGAAUAAGGAUCGGCUAACUCCGUGCCAGCAGCCGCGGUAAUACGGAGGAUCCAAGCGUUAUCCGGAUUUAUUGGGUUUAAAGGGUGCGUAGGCGGCUUUUUAAGUCAGGGGUGAAAGACGGUAGCUUAACUAUCGCAGUGCCUUUGAUACUGAAGAGCUUGAAUAUACUUGAGGUAGGCGGAAUGUGACAAGUAGCGGUGAAAUGCAUAGAUAUGUCACAGAACACCAAUUGCGAAGGCAGCUUACUAAAGUAAGAUUGACGCUGAGGCACGAAAGCGUGGGGAUCAAACA